CGCGUAGGUGGUUUGCCAAGUCAGGGGUGAAAUCCUUCGGCUUAACCGGAGAAUAGCCCCUGAUACUGGCGAGCUAGAGGAAGACAGAGGCAGCCGGAACUACCGGUGGAGCGGUGAAAUGUGUUGAUAUCGGUAGGAACGCCAGAGGCGCAAGCGGGCUGCUGGUUCUUUUCUGACACUGAUGCGCGAAAGCUAGGGUAGCAACG
rnacentral:rRNA from 1 species